rnacentral:misc_RNA from 1 species
CUCAGGCUUUGGAAGCACACAAAAGAAAGCCAAUCUCACAGUGGAUUCUUCUACUUUCGAGUGUUGGAGCAAUGCUUGUGGCGUUUCCUGCCUCAAGUCUACUUUCACGUGUUUAUUAUGCAAAUGGGGGUACAAGCAAGUGGAUUAUUUCAUGGGUGGCAGUUGCUGGGUGGCCUUUAACUGCUUUAAUUUUAUUGCCCACUUACUUCUUUUGUAAAACAUUUCCAACUCCUCUGACCCUAAAACUCAUUCUCUCUUAUA